AGCGCCGGGACUGUGAGAUGGCCAAUGACGGUCUGACCCGUUGGGCCGGGCCAGGUCGCGGACAACGUCGACCGUUUGUUUAAGAAGCGUGGACUCUUGUCCUGAGUGCACCGAGGCUUUCAGCCUGCGGGACAGUGGUGCGAUUUGCAUUAGAGAAAGGGAGAUGCCAUGUGCUGGCCCAGCACUCCAACAGGGGCCUGACCUCUAGGAACGGGACACUGGAGGAAGCCUAGACAUCUGAACAAAUCAAGUCAUCCAGAUCCACGGUCAGCUCCUGCCCCGACUUGGCCUUCCUCCUGCUGGGCUGGCCCACGGACCUCGGGAACCUGCCCUGGCUGUGGGUGACCUGCAGCCUAUCUCCCAGGACUAUGGAAGCCCCAUGCAGGAACAUGGUUCUGACACUUUGGGGAUUAUACCCUAAGCUUAAAGGACUGGAAAAGCCCCUGAAGUCCCGAGACCACAACCCUCCACCUUCUAAAGAUAAGACAAGUCACUGAAGGUAAAAUCAGCUCCUCAGUGUCUCCAAGGACAGGAAUGCCAUGGGCUGGGAGGCGCCAUGGGUGAACAGACUUCCCUACUUCCUGCCUCCCCAAGGGUGGGGAGCAGUCUAGGGGAUGGCUGUACUCCUGGGCCCAGUGUCUAAGUGAAAAUUAGGAGGAAAUGGAGGGAGGGUGGCGAGCGAGGACAGACUGGCCAAGGUCCCCCGCAGCCACUCCUGAAGUCCUCACGAGGGAGAAGCAGCCUCUCCUUCCAGCCUUCCCC
rnacentral:lncRNA from 1 species